UACGAAGGGGGCUAGCGUUGCUCGGAAUACUGGGCGUAAAGCGUGCGCAGGCGGUGAUGUAAGACAGAUGUGAAAUCCCCGGGCUCAACCUGGGAACUGCAUUUGUGACUGCAAGGCUGGAGUACGGUAGAGGGGGAUGGAAUUCCGCGUGUAGCAGUGAAAUGCGUAGAUAUGCGGAGGAACACCGAUGGCGAAGGCAAUCCCCUGGACCUGUACUGACGCUCAUGCACGAAAGCGUGGGGAGCAAACAGG
rnacentral:rRNA from 1 species